rnacentral:rRNA from 1 species
CACUCCUACGGGAGGCAGCAGUGAGGAAUAUUGGACAAUGGGUGGAAGCCUGAUCCAGCCAUCCCGCGUGCAGGAAGACGGCCCUAUGGGUUGUAAACUGCUUUUAUCUGGGGAUAAACCUACUUACGUGUAAGUAGCUGAAGGUACCAGAAGAAUAAGCACCGGCUAACUCCGUGCCAGCAGCCGCGGUAAUACGGAGGGUGCAAGCGUUAUCCGGAUUUAUUGGGUUUAAAGGGUCCGUAGGCGAACUGAUAAGUCAGUGGUGAAAUCCGACAGCUUAACUGUCGAACUGCCAUUGAUACUGUUAGUCUUGAGUAAGGUUGAAGUGGCUGGAAUAAGUAGUGUAGCGGUGAAAUGCAUAGAUAUUACUUAGAACACCAAUUGCGAAGGCAGGUCACUAAGUCUUAACUGACGCUGAUGGACGAAAGCGUGGGGAGCGAACAGGAUUAGAAACCCGAGUAGUCCC